UAUAGGAGAAGGUUGGCUGUCGUAUGGAACGCAUAGUUACUUACAUAUAAAGACUAGCAUCAACUGGUGGGAUGCUAAGUAUGAGUGUGAAAAGCUAGGGUCCUACUUGGUUACCAUAGAAACGGAAGAAGAAAAUUCAUGGUUAACAGAAACCUUUCUGCCAGUCUUGGAUCCUGCUGGAUGUAACACUUGGUGGGAUUGUUGUUCACAUUGGAUAGGUGCAAACGAUAUUGACAAGGAGAACCUAUUUGUCUGGACAGAAAACAACAAUAACGUCACUUCCUUUUCUAAUUGGCACCCCGAGGAACCUGAUGACGUUGGCGAACAGGACUGUGUACAAAUGUGUCGUGGCGGGAUU